GAUGAACGCUGGCGGCGUGCCUCAAACAUGCAAGUCGAGCGGGGCUAUGUAAUAUCGCAAGGUAGAACAUAGCCUAGCGGCGAACGGGUGAGUAACACGUGGGUAACCUGCCUGGAAGACAGGGAUAACGAUUCGAAAGGGUCGCUAAUACCUGAUAAUAUCCUUUCAUCGCAUGGUGAUAGGAAGAAAGGGGAAACCCGCUUUCAGAUGGGCCCGCGUCCCAUCAGCUAGUUGGUAAGGUAAAGGCUUACCAAGGCGACGACGGGUAGCCGGUCUGAGAGGAUGUACGGCCACACUGAGACUGAGAUACGGCCCAGACUCCUACGGGAGGCAGCAGUUGGGAAUCUUAGGCAAUGGACGAAAGUCUGACCUAGCGACGCCGCGUGAGGGAAGAAGGCCCUUGGGUUGUAAACCGUCUGUCAUGGGGAAGAAGUAAGUGACGGUACCCCGAAAGAGGAAGCCCCUCGCUAACUACGUGCCAGGCAGCCGCGGUAAAAGAGUAGUACA
rnacentral:rRNA from 1 species